rnacentral:lncRNA from 1 species
GAGAGAGAGAGAGAACCACGGGCCAUUAAGCACAAUGAAGACCGAAGCUCCCACGUUCCUCAACGCUCCCUUACUCUGCACUGUUCGAAGAAGAAACAACAACUUGAGUCAACGAUGAUCAAAGGAGGCUAAUUCAUGGAAGAAGCUAUCCAAAUUCAACAGUUGCCCUCAGACAAUGCUUGCAUCAGCAAGGAAGGGUUUCUUAGUCAACAAGGCAAGUCAGCGGUUCCCUGCAAGAGGAGACUUCCUCACGGAGGAUCAUGGGUGGUCACUGAUUUCCCGGUAUUCCUCAGGUGGUCACUGAUCAAACAGAGGACAAGGCAGGUUUCUUCGUAUUACUCUGCAUCAUUUUCAUGGACGCCAUGAUACUACAAACUGUUAACAAACGAGUUCCCGGUAAAUUAUUCCAAGCAAAGAUACAGGGAUUCAUCACAUAGAAAAGAAUAAAGAAUUAGAAGCAAAAUACGCGGCUCAACGUGAGAGAGAGAGAGAGAGAGAGAGCGAGCGAGCAAGAGAGAGAGAGAGAGAGAGAGAGAGGAAAAAUAGACUUUUAAUUAGUCCACUAUUAGGGUUGGAUGUUAGUCAAAUUAUGAGCAAAACAAAUGGGCAAAUAUAUGGAGUAUAAUCCCUCUAGAAAGAAGGCGGAAAAAAAAAUCAGAUUCAGAGAUGAAAAUUUUUGGGUCUCCUCCACCGCGUUGAGAGGAACCCAAUGUGUGUUGAACAGCCACAAAAAUCUAGAGCCAUCACAGUUGACCGGACUAAAAGUCAAUCUAAUGGAGGGGGCAGCUGCAGGGUUCCACAGCUAGUUAUGAACAAAAUCUGAACGCUAGGAGGCGAUCGUGAAUCAAGAAACAGCGAAAAAUCUAGCGGACUGAGCGCAGAGAUGGCUUAUCGGGAGAAACCCUACGAUUGAAGAUCUGAUCGCAGCAGGAAUGGUUCCAGUAAACGGGGAUUAAUUCCAGAAAAAAAUAUGCAUAAACAUGAUAAUUGGCUCUAACUGGAUCAUAAAAAAAAAACAAAAAAGAAUUCAAACAAAUACCGAGCGAGUAGUCAGAGAAGAACAACCAUCCACUCUGGCAAGAUUCUCCCGAAAAUUACAAGAGGGGUUGCCCGAGCCCUCCAUUUUUUCGACGAGGCCCUCCCUAAAGAGCUCGAUGUUGGCAGACCAACAAGAGUAGUUUGCUGAUAUCGAGUGGAAACGGAUAGAGAGUGGAGGCGGAAGCGGAGUCAAAAACCUAAUGCUCGACAAAACGCACAUCCGGGGAAGAAGAAGGGGAAAUCCAAAGGAGAGGAGACCUGCGGGAGACCGACCAAGGCAGGGGGAGGCGAAGCUCUUGCCGCGGUGCGCCUCCCCGAUCGAUCGACUUUAGGGCUUGCCGUGUUUCUCCAUGGGGAUGAUGCACAGAGAGAGAAGGGGGAGGGAGAGAUAGAGAGAGGAAGAGGGGGGGUGUUCACAAGGGAGGAGCGUGUCGUUAGCCUUGUCCACUUCAGGCCAGUUCAGUUUUUUCCCAUUCGGGCGUCAGGCGACGGAGCCAUCUGCGGCGACAUGGAGGGGGAGGUGAGCGGCGAGUCAUCGGA